rnacentral:rRNA from 1 species
UAGGGAAUCUUCGGCAAUGGACGAAAGUCUGACCGAGCAACGCCGCGUGAGUGAAGAAGGUUUUCGGAUCGUAAAACUCUGUUGUUAGAGAAGAACAAGGACGUUAGUAACUGAACGUCCCCUGACGGUAUCUAACCAGAAAGCCACGGCUAACUACGUGCCAGCAGCCGCGGUAAUACGUAGGUGGCAAGCGUUGUCCGGAUUUAUUGGGCGUAAAGCGAGCGCAGGCGGUGUCUUAAGUCUGAUGUGAAAGCCCCCGGCUCAACCGGGGAGGGUCAUUGGAAACUGGGAGACUUGAGUGCAGAAGAGGGGAGUGGAAUUCCAUGUGUAGCGGUGAAAUGCGUAGAUAUAUGGAGGAACACCAGUGGCGAAGGCGGCUCGCUGGUCUGUAACUGACGCUGAGGCUCGAAAGCGUGGGGAGCAAACAGG